AUAUAUAUAUAUCGACUUUCACUAUAUAUAUAUCAACUUUCAUUAUAUAUAUAUCAAGUUUCAUUAUAUAUAUAUAUCAACUUUCAUUAUAUAUAUAUCAAGUUUCAUUAUAUAUAUAUCGACUUUCAUUAUAUAUAUAUAUCAACUUUCAUUAUAUAUAUAUCAAAUCUUUUUUUCCUACCGAGCCCCGGAAGGGACAUGUCCGUAUGGCGAAGCGACAACGAAGGACACUCACCCGGACGAGAAUUUUAUUGAGUUUUAUUUUAAAAUCGGCCUGAAACACACAGACAUUCAAGCAGUGCGAUGCGCUAAGAGUCUGCCAUGCAGACCAGCGAUCCUGAUAAUGUUGUCGGCCUUGGAUGAUGAGGUCCAGUUACCAGGAGCACUAGUCUGCAGCUUACUGGUUCCGUCUUGCAGCUCCUCCACGCUGUCCUCCUCUCUACAGACCAAAUCAAGAAAAGGGAACCAGGAAGCUGCUGUGGAUCCUCUGCAGUAUCUGGAGAGGUCAGAGGAACGGUUCUUGGAACAGAUCGGAAGACACCAAGACGUGACCUCUGCCAUGCUCCAGAACAUCCAGAAGAUGAAUGAAAACCUUGGUUGCACUGAUGGGACGCAUGGUGUCGGUGCUGGAGCAACUGUCCCAGAAUUAAACUGCAUUGUUGACUAUUGGCUUUUCUAGAAAAUAAAUCUUUUUUAGUACUUCA